UACAGAGGUCUCAACCGUUGUUCGGAUUCAUUGGGCGUAAAGGGCGCGUAGGCGGCUUUGCAAGUCGGGUGUGAAAGCCCUCAGCUCAACUGAGGAAGUGCGCCCGAAACUGCAGAGCUUGAGUACCGGAGAGGAUGGCGGAAUUCCCCAAGUAGAGGUGAAAUUCGUAGAUAUGGGGAGGAACACCGGUGGCGAAGGCGGCCAUCUGGACGGAUACUGACGCUGAGACGCGAAAGCGUGGGGAGCAAACAGG
rnacentral:rRNA from 1 species